AUGAACGCUGGCGGCGUGCCUAAUACAUGCAAGUCGAGCGAACAGACGAGGAGCUUGCUCCUCUGACGUUAGCGGCGGACGGGUGAGUAACACGUGGAUAACCUACCUAUAAGACUGGGAUAACUUCGGGAAACCGGAGCUAAUACCGGAUAAUAUAUUGAACCGCAUGGUUCAAUAGUGAAAGACGGUUUUGCUGUCACUUAUAGAUGGAUCCGCGCCGCAUUAGCUAGUUGGUAAGGUAACGGCUUACCAAGGCAACGAUGCGUAGCCGACCUGAGAGGGUGAUCGGCCACACUGGAACUGAGACACGGUCCAGACUCCUACGGGAGGCAGCAGUAGGGAAUCUUCCGCAAUGGGCGAAAGCUUGACGGAGCAACGCCGCGUGAGUGAUGAAGGUCUUCGGAUCGUAAAACUCUGUUAUUAGGGAAGAACAAAUGUGUAAGUAACUAUGCACGUCUUGACGGUGCCUAAUCAGAAAGCCACGGCUAACUACGUG
rnacentral:rRNA from 1 species